AUUUGUUUUCGUUUUGCAUCAAACGAUUAUUGUGUCACUCAUGAAAGAGACACCGUUGGUUACUCAAAUAAGAGAAAGAGAUUGAAGGUGAUAUAUUAUUGUGUUGCUCAUGAAAGAAGCAUGGUUUGGUGGUUCAAAUAAGGGAAAGAGAUUGACGGUGACACAAAUGACCAAAGUUUGCAUUCUGAAAACAUAUAUGUUUUUUAUCAUUUACUCUAGUGCCUUCCUACUGAGUAUUACUUGUAGUACUCACCCCUCCCCCACUAUAAUCUCACAGGUUGAUUCGAGACAUGGUGGCGGUUUGGCAUAGUGGCAAGUGCUCGGUGAUUUGAAAAGCUUGGACUUUCUAGUAAAAUUUCCAAUUCAUGUAAAUCUAUUAUGAAUGACUAGAUGGCACUUUUAGAAGUAUUUAAACAUCUAUUUCGUCCAGUAUUAUAUACAUUUCAUGUCAACCAUAAUUUGAAAAUGUUGGAAUGACUAUGCCUGAGG
rnacentral:lncRNA from 1 species